GGAAGUGCACAUGCGCUCUUGUAAAUAAACGUUUGUGAUACGUGCUCAGCAAGCAGAGCGAGAGAGAUGCACUCUCGGGAAAGUUGCAAUGUUUUAGAACACAAUCCUAAGUUUAGAACAUGAUGGGAAUUGCAACUUUUGUGAAGUGAGUGUGGAUGAUUUUCUGGAAGCUCAUCAUACUUGUAUAGUAUUUCCACUGCCGUAUUUGGGGUAUUAAGGUUUAUUGUUCUGAAGUAUAUGUGCAUUCUUUUAGCCCGGUAGUCUUUAUAUUUUGUUUUAUUUGUUUUUUUUGCAAAUUGGGUCAUAGUUUUUGUGUACUGACAAAUUGAGGUAACAGAUUUUGUGCAAAUUUUCCAUCGGGAAGUACGAGAUUUGAAAGUGAAGUGUAUUCUCAAAAUUAUUACUCUUUGAGUGAUAUUUCUGUGUUUUCUUUUUUUGUUUUUGAACCUUUUGUUUUUGUGUGAUUUAUUUGGAACAAAUGUAAAUCGGUGCACAUACAGUGAAAAAGAGAAUAACAAAAAAAGAGAGUUUUAUUUAAAAAUCAGAAAUUGAAUAAACUUAUAAAAAGUUAAACCCGUUAAUUGUGGUCCUGGUGGUAUAUUGAAAAUCCCUAGCUCACACAUUUUGGUACCAGGAGUGGGGUAGUUUAUUCAAUCUGAUUCAUUUGCGACAAGCGACAUAGUGGGGGUAGACAAAUACGGCAGUGGUGAAUACUUUUGCAGAGGUGGAGGACGUCCGCAGUGUGGAGGAUCUUAUUCGAGGUGGUCAUCGUGGGACUAAGCCUGUGGGACAGGCGUGAACGCUGCGGAAGAGACUGGUCCUUAUUGAAGUGCUUCCUUCUGUCGACGUAUUAGCUUCCAGGAUUUCUCCUCCACACCCAGGGACUGUGAGUCAAUGCGAGGGUGUGCUGAAGGUACUGAAGAGGAUUAAAAAGGUUGGAUGGGUUUUGCCCUAAGGACAAUUAUUCUUAACUGAACUGAACUUAACUAAUUGUGAGUUAAUGCUAUUUGAACUACUGAUGUAAAAAUGUCAGAUUCUGAUGAAAACCCUGCCGAUGGGGCUGUGGGGGGUAAUGUCAUAGAGCAACUGAGAGGUCAAAUUCAAGAACUAACAGAUUGGAGAGAUAAUACGUUGGCCAAUAGGGCUGCCGGGGAGGGCAACCCAACUCGUUCUUACAUUUAUGUUCCUCGCGAACGUCAGGUCCAGCCUUUUAGCGGGGAGUAUAACAAAGAUGGCCGCUCUGUAGAAGAGUUCAUUGAGGAG